GACUGGUCUCGUUGGUGACCAGCGGAGGGAUCAUUACAGAGUUAUACAACUCCCAUACCAUCUGUUAACCUACCCAGUUAUGCCUCGGCGUAAGCUCGGUUGGAGGCACCUGCAGCUACCCUGUAGUUGCGGACUGCCAACUCCAGCCGCGGCCCGCCGGCGGUACACUAAACUCUGUUUUAUUUUAUAUUCUGAGCGUCUUAUUUUAAUAAGUUAAAACUUUCAACAACGGAUCUCUUGGUUCUGGCAUCGAUGAAGAACGCAGCGAAAUGCGAUAAGUAAUGUGAAUUGCAGAAUUCAGUGAAUCAUCGAAUCUUUGAACGCACAUUGCGCCCAUCAGUAUUCUGGUGGGCAUGCCUGUUCGAGCGUCAUUUCAACCCUUAAGCCUAGCUUAGUGUUGGGAAUCUGCUGUACUGCAGUUCCUUAAAGACAGUGGCGGAGCGGCGGUAGUCCUCUGAGCGUAGUAAUUUAUUUCUCGCUUUUGUCAGGCUCUGUCCUCCCGCCAUAAAACCCCCAAUUUUUUAGUGGUUGACCUCGGAUCAGGUAGGAAUACCCGCUGAACUUAAGCAUAUCAAAAAGCGGGAGGAAA
rnacentral:rRNA from 1 species